UUUUUAUUUUCCUUUUUUGGUGGGGCUGGGCUGGAGGUGCCGAGGUGGUCUGGUGGAAGUGGGGCUAGGGGACUAGGGUAGUGGCGGGCCUGUUGGGGCGACGGGGCGCUGGACGGCCCUGAGGGGCGGUGACGGGCCGGAGGGCCUUAGGGGCGGCGACGCGCUGGAGGGAUCGGGGGCGGAGACGAGGGGCUGGGCUGGAUCGAUGACGCCGGCGUGGGGUGGAGGCGGUCCUAGAGAGGAGGCGGUGUUGGUGCGGUCGCUCGUGGCGGGGAGAAGAGUAGGUAAAAUCGGUCCUGGAGCGGAGCGGUCCUGUUGUUGGGUCGGUAGGGGCGUGCAGUUACCCGACGACGGGGUGAGGAGGUAGAGGGGCCACUACGACGACCCGCCUCCGAGGGGGUGGCGCGUCGGAGGAUGUCCACGUCGAAGUGACGGCGUGGUGCCACAAUUAGCCGCGGAGGAGAUCGGCAAGUCCGAUGUUGUCAAAAGAGGGACUUGUGAAGACCCCUGGUUUUUUCCACACCAGCACAUCGCCGGCGGCCGCUCCUAGUUACCGUGACAUACUACGUGAAGUUUCACAAGCACAAUUACGGAGUUACUUUUUACUCAACACAUCAAAACAUAAAGUCACGCUCGUGUGAGUUUAGGAACUUUGACGGGUGCGGGUUGACUAAACAGAAGCACAAGCCGGAUGUAUUCGAUAAAAAUAAACACAGAUUUCGUCUUGAGUCCUUCAGUUAUACGGUGCAUGCUGCCGAUACGCAGCAAGCGCCACUUCAAGAUGAUGCCAACAUGUGGUUCAAGUUGAUGUCCAUAUACGAAUAUUUGUAAUAAUCUCUUUUGAUAUCCGGCGUCGGCACGGGGAGGCGACGUGGCGGGUAGUAGUGGGGGCAUGUGUCGGCCGGUGGCCCGUUGAGGAGGUCGCGCCCACGUUGUGAUGGCGACGAGUGUAGGAGCGGGGUGAACGACCACAGAAGGUGAGAUCCGCGCCAACAUCGUUCGUUUGUUUUCGCGGUGACCAAGUAGGGCCUACGACGAACAUGAGGUACAAUACGUAAUAACAGGAUCUACCCCAACGUCUUUUCCUAACACAUCACACCGCACGCACCGACUCUUCUACUACAUUCUACCUUGUCCUAUCCCUACCUUGCACACCACCCCUUUUAGUCUCAAUAUGCGCC
rnacentral:rRNA from 1 species